CAGCCGGGGUGACGCACCGCCCGCGAGGCCGAGCGCCCGGGGAGGGCGUGAUGACGUCACGACGCCCCGGUCAGGGCCUGGGCGCGGCUCGCGAGCCGGGUCGUCUCUAUAGUGAUGAGGAGCUGCCACCUGUCCUGCGGAGGCACUCGGUCCACCUGAAGCCUGAGACGGGAGCGGGGAGGAGCCCGAGGCCGCGGUGCCAGAAGGUGCGCUUCUGGAGCCAGGGAGGGCCGGAGGGGCAGAUGGUGAGGGAAGCCGUUCCCGCGGGUCCCGCUGCCGGUCCCGGGGCUCCGAGCCCCCCGGCUUCCUCCUGCGCCUUAGGGUCCUGGCGCUUUGCUGCGCGCCCUCCGCAGGCACAGCCUACGACCUUCGAGCCACCCCCCGAAGAAAGCCACCGCAGGUGUUACUAGCUCCUGGUUGAAAAGGACGACGUCGAGGAGCCGUCAGAUUUGGACUGCCCUUCCCUGGCCCAGCUCUGCAGCUACCCACAGUUCUUUCUCAUGACGAGGACAUCCCCACACUCGUCCUCAGACGGCAGGAAGAUCUCGGCUACACUGUUCCUGGCUUCUCAAAUCUGGCUCAAAAGUUGUCCUCCUGAAAGCUCCUCCUGGCAGCCCUAUUCCUGUCUCUCCAGGCCAGACCUGAAGUUUCUGGCAGUGUUUGAAAGCAGAGAAGAUCCUACUUCUGGAGGACGAGAAGUCUUUCGAAGAUGCUGCGGUGGCAGUGCAGUCGGGCAGAAUUCUGAGGUAAACACAAGGACUCAAAGACAGGCACGACAUUCUCCUCCAAACCUGCCCUCCCACCUUCAAGAUGUGGUCCCGACCAGAACAUUCUUAAACUUUCAUCCUUCCAACUCGCAGAAGCGGAAAAGGAAAGAUAAACGGAGUGUGGUUUAAAAAAAAAAAAGAAGAAGAAGAAGAAAGAAAAGGAAUUGGAGGAUGCCAGAUGGUGCCUGAUCUACAUGGGGGCACAGAGAGCUGAUUAGCCCCCCAAGGCAGGGAAGGACGAUGGCAUGGCGCCUUGCUCUGCCUCUGCCUUGCUUUGGACACUAGUGGGCGCUCCAGUGGGCCCCUAGGGAGGGGGGGCUCCAGCCUGCCUUUACACCACCGAUGAGGUGGGCAUAGAGGAUUCUCUAUGGCAGAUUAGUAGGUCAUCUCAGAUCUCCUCUCCAGCUCAGCAUGAUUUCCUGGGCCUCAGAGUAUGGAUAUUACUCUGGCCUGCGGGGAGGGAGAGGAGGUGGCCCCACUUUAGCCUCCAUAUCUCUUGCAUCUUGGUGUCUUUUAUUCAAGUUUCCUUCAGAGCAGAAACAGGUCUUAUAUCCGUAGGGUACUGUGAAUUGGGGUGCUCUGCCCUGUCUACUUCUGCAGGGACUCACAACUGGAUAGCUACUUAGGAAGAUAACAAGGCAGGAAUAGAGAGAUGGCUUUUGCAAGUGCUACUACCAAAGCAGCAGUGCAGGCUGGACCCUCCCUGGCAGGGGCAGAAUGUCCCCGGCUUCUCUGGGCCUCCCACACUCACUCUCAGGCUGCACUUUGCUUUGGGGCUUUACUUUUUUUUUCAGGAAUACCUCUGUCAUGCGUUUCACUCUAAUUUCUCCUGCAAAUGUCUAGGGAGAGGAUGGGGCUGGCGGGCCCAGAGCCGAUACCUCUCGAUUCUGAUCCUGCUUCCAAGGACACCUCUGCCAGGGCUCUGCCACAUUCAGGGACUCCUCCUCCCCUGCCAAGUCUCCUCCCAUGAGCCUUUGGUUUUCUUUCUGCCCCUCAGGUUCCCCAUCUGUAAAUGAGUCCAGGGCCUCUAUCUUGACAGGCAACAUAGUCUAACAGAGAACAAGUGCACAUGGAAACUAGGCUACCCCAAGGUCAAUGUCCGGCCAAAUAUCUAUUUUGACUGAGUUAUUUCAUUUCUCUGAGCCUCAGCUUCCUCAUCUAGAAAGUGGGUAUGUCCACACAACCUCCCAAGUGAGGCAUCAUCUCUCUUUAACUACACUGGCUUUAGAGGAAAUAAACCUGCAGUUCAGAUCUCAGCUGUGACUCAGGUCCCCGUUGGGGUCCCUCCCCAGAAGAAAAGAUGGAAAGAUAGAAGACCUCUCCAUCCCAAACUGUAAUUCCUCUGGGCAUCUGGGUUAAAGAAAGGAUGGGUGAAGGUUUGGGGAGCAAGUUCAAGGUACUCAUGAACCAAUUCAUAAAGUGAAUUGCUGUAAAAUAAAACUCAGUUCACUCCAUAGCUUCUGUUAUAUUUUUCAAGAAGGGCCUGUAUGGGAUGGAGAAUCCUUUUAGAAGAAGCUGAAAACCUGUAGCAAGGAAAAGGUAGGAAAGUUUGCCAGCUAUGUGCUUAGGCUGAGUGUUGAUACCCUUGCAAAAGCUGGCCUCUUUUAUUUGGCUCUGCCUGCUUCCUUCCACCACUUCUCCGUCUUAGGUGGAGCGCUGUCUAGGCAUCAUGCUGAACCGACUUGGCGAAGCUAUGGGGCAUCACAGGCCUGCCUGGUGUCUCGUUCUGAAGGAGCUGCAGUGCACUGGAGGAGAACAAGCCCUGACCCCGACUCAGGCCUAAGGGACAGCCAGGAACUCAAUCUGGUCCUCUCUUGCCCUCACUGGCCCCUCUACACCCCAGUCCAGUCCUGCUGGGAUUGAUUGAGGACUUAGGUUGCCCCUGCUUGGGGGACCCAAGCUGUAAUGCUACCCUUCACCAGUAGGUGCCGCCAUUUAACGUACCAUUCUCCAGUCCCACAAGGAAUCCAGUGCUUCAAGCAAAUUUGCAAAUGAAAUUAUUGUAAAUGAGAUAUUCCUAUGUCGAUGAAAUUAAAAUGUGGAAUUAAUUGUA